GUUUGCUCUAUAAUGACUGUGGUUGGGUAUGGUGAUCCAUAGUGAGUAUUGUUUGUAAGGUAAUCUAUAGUGACUGAUGUUGUGUAUUGUGCUCUGUAGUGACUGUCUUUGGAUAGGGUUCUCUAUAGUGACUGUUGUUGGGUAGAGUGCUUUAUAGUGACUGUUGUUGGGUAGGUGCUCUAGAAUUACUGUUUUUUUGAAUACAUUAUAGAGUCUGUUGUUUGGUAUG
rnacentral:lncRNA from 1 species